rnacentral:rRNA from 1 species
AGGGAAUAUUGCGCAAUGGGCGAAAGCCUGACGCAGCGACACCGUGUGUAGGAUGAAAAUCUUCGGAUUGUAAACUACUGUCAGUUGAAGACGAAGGCAGUAGAGUUAAGAGCUCGAAUGUUGACGGUAUUCAAUUAGGAAGUCUCGGCUAACUCCGUGCCAGCAGCCGCGGUAAGACGGAGGAGGCAAGCAUUGUCCGGAAUUAUUGGGCGUAAAGAACACGUAGGCGGUUAAUCAAGUCAUAUGUGAAAACCUUGGGCUUAACUUAAGGAUUGCAUAUGAUACUGGUAAACUAGAGUAUAGUAGAGGAAAGCGGAAUUCCUGGUGUAGCGGUGAAAUGCGCAGAUAUCAGGAAGAACACCAGUGGCGAAAGCGGCUUUCUGGACUGUUACUGACGCUGAGGUGUGAAAGCUAGGGGAGCGAAC